rnacentral:lncRNA from 1 species
AAAAUAGUAUAAUGAAAAGCAGUGGCUGCCGUGCUCUCCUGCCUCAGACUGUUGGUUUCUCAAUAUAUUGAUCCCCCAGAGUAGCCUCUGCAAUGUCAGGUUUUCACCUAACUGUUUCACCCCUUCCCAUGAUAGCUCCUAAAAUGAAGCUCUCACAAUUGGACAAAAAGCAAUCCAAAAAGCAAUUUGUUUUGCCAAUAAUUUGGUUUCUCCAAAGACAUGGUAGAAAGUAUUUGUGCAUUGCAAGGAGUGAGGAGUCAGCCUUCCCCAGAGGUUUCCUGCAGUGGAGCUGGGAUCAAAGGGCCUUGAAUCCCCAGCCCAGGGCUGCCACGGUGGCUGUAGGUUCAUGGUGUGGCUUCUCAGGGCAAGAGGGACUUGGACAUCUUAAAGAGAGCAGCUGUUGAGAUGUGGCUCUGCAGGAUCAACUUGGACAACAUUCAUCAUUCCUACCUCUCUUUCCUCUUCUAUCUACCAGGCAUUUCUGGAUGAUAAGCUUUGGAAAUACUUCUUUCUGGUGGUACACCAAGUCCAUGUGCACGUUAUGGAAGAGCUGUUGAGAUUUUCACUUUAUCAAUCAAGCAUGCUGUUUUAUUUAAUUAACUUCUUUCCUAGUCAAUUUGUAGCUAUCUUUUACUGCGUGUUGUAGGAGUGAUGGGAAAGGAGCUAAGUCACUCACUGAACCUACGUGUUCUCCAGUGCUUUUUAUCUCUCUCAUUUAAAUCAACAGAACCUGUCUGCCAAAAGAAGAAACUUAGCUGUCUCCCAUUUCUGUCUGUGGUCUGUCUCCUUGAAGACCAUGAGGUACUUCAUACAUUCCUCAGCUUUUGCCUGCUAUUUGUGAAUUAAUGGGGUGAAGCGAUUUCCCUGAACUUAUCAGAAAAUCUAUGUAAGACAGAGAAGAGGAAUGGGAUCUGGUCCAUCAGGUUUACAGGUGCUGACCGGAACAAACAAGUGGUCCAGACCCUGAAUGCUUUAAUAUCCAUCUCUUAAGAAAGAGGUCUUCUCCCCACUAUCCCAUGAAGGCAAUGAUCAUUGCUCAGAAAUUCAGCCUUUCGUCCUGAUCAGAGCCCUCUCCAGCAUCACCUUCACAGCGAAAAAGACACAAACCCAACGGCUCAACACUUGCAAGGCAGAGCAGUGCUGCAGCCCCGUGUGCCCUUCGACUCACUCCCUUUCCCUCGGCCAGGCCUCAAGCAGAGCAGUGAUUGAAGAGAGGUGGAGCCCCAUGACUGAUUCCCCCGAGAACAUAACUCUGGUUUCUCUGACACCCUGAACAAGAGCGAGAUGUCAGGAUCCUUCCUUAGGGCUGCUGCAUGAGAGGGAUGGACCGGUGACACUGAUGCUACAUCACCUCUUCUGAGCACAGGAGCUGAGUUCCACGUUUGGCAGCUCCAGGAUGAACCGGUGGCGUUUCCUUGACUCCAGUGGCGAUCGAUUCCAUUUGGAGCCUGUAGCAACUGACGUCCAGGGGAGCCCAAGUCCCACCCAUCACAUGGCAACAGGAAGGUAAAGAGUGACGACUGUGCUCAAACUGAACAGGUGGGCUCUGAGGAAACGUAAUGGAGGUGAAGACAAGUGGUGAUGAGGCUGGCACAGCUGCACCCAACAUGGUUCUUCAGACAGCUGUUGGAUUUGGCCAGCUCUGCCUCUUGCUGCCCACAAAAGGGCAUGAGCCCUUCUGAGCUUUGCGUGAUGCCUGGUGGCACAUCCCUCCAAAAGGAAGUGGGAAGAUUAAAGAAAGACGUUGAGGCCCUGGAAUGUGCCCAGAGAGGGGCAACGAAGCUGUGAACGGGCUGCAGCACAAGUCUUAUGGAGAGAGGCAGAGGGAACUGGUGUUCUUCAGUCUGGAGAAGAGGCUCAGGGGAGACCUCAUUGCUCUCUACAAUGCCCUGAAAGGAGGCUGUGGUGAGAGUGUUCAAUUCUUUCCCCGUCUCCCCCACCAGCCCCAGCCCAGGAGCGAGCAGCUCCCGAAAAUGCUGAGGAAAUGGAGCUGAAAGCCUGGGGCAAUGGGGCAGAGAAGGUGAAUCUAAAGAGAUGCAGAAAUGAACCAGACAGGGCCGGGAAAUGUACGGAGAACCCACCCUAGCCUGUAUGUGAGGGAGUGCAUACCACAGCGUAUGAGAUCAACAGCCCCUUUCCGCAGUCUCAGUAGUGCUGAGUCCCAGAAGAGGGUUACAGAUUUACAAGGAAUUCAGAUUUUUACAUUCAGGAUGAAAUCAGCAAAUUUUAGAGCUUGCCGAGAUUGAAGCGACGGUGUUUAGCGAUGCAGCCCCGAGCACGCGGAGCCCAGCACCGCUUUGCUCCCAGUAAUGAGUCCCCCCGGGGGUCACAGCCCCCACUGCAUGGGGCUGCCCAAAGCCCUUUGCCCUGCGAUUCUUCCAGCAAAGACACUGUACAAUCACAGGCAGCUGCACUGAGGAAAAUGUAAAUGCAAUAGAAAACACAGACGUGGAGGAGCAUCUGUUCUCCCCUCCAGGUCGAGCAGUGGUCUUGAAAGAUGAACCGGCAUGGGGAGAGCUCAGAAGGAGCGAGGUGAGCACAUCUACCAGUGGAAUGUCUGCUCCUACAGUGGCACACUUGUCAGGUGAGAUGGUCUUUCAGCUCAAAAUCAUAUUCUGGGCUCUUGCAUUUUACAGAUGUUUAUAUCCAAAGCCAGAACUGUAUUUCCUAUGGUCCCAUCCGAAAAGCUCCAGCUGCAGACAAAUCUAGGGAGGCAUCAGCUCCUUCUGCAGCAGUGACUGUUGAUACCACCUCACUGAGCUGCCAAUGUCCACCAUGCAAUGUGCCUGCUACAUGAUGCCAGAGAGAAGCACAAUUCAUGGAAGGCUUGCAGGAAGGAGAGAGAAUGUAUAGCAUAGAAGCCUGGAAAGCAGGCCAAGAGGAGGUUAUUCCCAUGAUACAUCUCUGUUCCCCCCUCCCCAUCAUGUCAGCAGCCUCUUCAGCUUCACACAGAGGUUGUGAGGAUUCAUUAGUUAAUGUUUGUAAAGCACUAUAUAGAUGGAGAGAGCUAUGUAAGUGCUAAGUAUUAUUAUUAUUACAGAGAGUCGCUGUUAAGGCAAUGGAUAUGCUCUUAAGUGUCAUUUCAUAUUUAAUUAACGUGCAAUAAUUGUCUUCCAAAACCUGGAGGUACAUCUUUAUUCUUGACACUUCCUUUAAAGAGACACUGCAGCAGAGCUGCUGCUAAUGGGCCUCCUCUCUGGCAUAGGAGGAACAGGAUGAGCUGGGAACUGGAAGAAGAGGAAAGGGAGGUCAAUGAGGGACUUUCUUCUUCACAAUUCCACAAACAUGCCAUGGAUCCAUGGUGAGUUUGGGUUUUGAUCACCGAGCUGCCCCAAGGGAUACUGACCUGGUGAGGGGUCUGCAGCCUUCCCCUUAGACUUUCCCCAUGCCCUGCAUCGACUGAGCAGUGCCUGUGGCUUCUGAGUAACUGAACCCAGCUGUAGCUGUGCACCUUGCCUCUGUGAGUAGAAUAAAAGAACUAAAAAGGGAGGAUGGAGAAGCAUGAAAUCACAGUACUGGGAAUUUCCCUUCUAUUUUUCAGGAACAUGUUUGCCAAGAAGUGGUAUUCUCAGAGCUAGGUUACGUAUCUUUUACUGACAGAGGGAAGCAAGGAGAAAUCAGCUGUGGGGCCAUCUGCUCCUCAAGCAAAUGGGAAGGGGAAGCCACCUCUCCCACCUCCCCACGAUGUUUGCAUUUCCGAGUGAGACCAGAGAAGUAAAAAAAGAAGCAGUCCAUCAUUAACUCAGAAAUAACCCGCCUACAGGAGCUGCAGAAGGAUGCUGGGCCCUUCAUGCCUGUCUUUUUUUUUUACCUGAAUGUGUAAUUUCUCACUGGUUCGUUGACAAAUCAGUGCCCUCUAUGGGCCCUUGGCUGGCAUCUCUCUGAGGAGCCCACAGGGUGGGGUUGGGAGGAGCAGGAUGCUCCAAGAGAGCUGCGAUGGUGCCAGUCCCCUUGUCCUCACCAUCUUAAAGAGGCAGCCCCCCUACCAACAUCACUCCCACACACUUGUGUGCCCUUCCUGCCCCUCUCUGAUCACUGAGAUGCUCCUCAUCAGUGCUAAGUGCUCUGAAGGUCACAGGCUACACAGCUCCCAACAUCACUGAGGAUCAGGCUUUGGCCUUGCUGCCACCCCCCUGCUCCCCCCGGGACCCCUGAAGUGACAGAACCUGGCAGCUCGUUCCUCGCUUCCCCCUCCCACCUCCCCCUUCCUUCUCUCACUCUCAUUUAUUUCAAUUUGCUAUGCUUUCUUUCCUGGCUCUCAGCAUUAACUGGGAAGGGGGAGAGGAGGGUGGAGGGAUGGUUUCAUGGUGGAGAGGUGGGGAAAACCUUGUAUGAUGGUGAGUGAGGGUCUGCAGGUCACAUUGGAGGUUAUGGGGAAAUCAGUCAACUUUUUAGGCUGAUUUUGGGUGUAGCCUCCCAUGAUUCAGAACAUAAUAGAGGUCAGUGAAUUGGCAAAGUGCUGUCAGGACCUCAGGAUGCCCUCAUAGCAACUUGGGCUGCUCUAUUUCAGUGCCAAUUCAUGGGAGCCAGGGCAGUGUGUGCUCACGUAGAGGUGGCAGUGGGGCAUGGGCUGCAUUGCUGAGUGAAUGGCAUAUCUGUGACAUUCAUCCUCAGUGCAGACAGCGUGAUUUGUGGCUAAAGGGGAUGUGCAUCUGCUACAGCACUGCUCAGCCUCUCUGCUCCUUUUGCCCUUAUCCUUGGGGCCCCAAAAGGCUCCAUUUGCCAGGAAUGCCCUCCACUCACUGCAGCCAUCUGAGCAAACACGAGAUCUGCACUCAUCACCUCCUGCUUCCCUCCCUUUGACUGUGCUGUCACACAUUGCCACACAGCAGUUAUUGUUCCAGGCACUACGGCACUGCACAUAAUCCAGGUGACUUCCAGAGCGAUUCAGCUCUCCAGUCUUUCACAAACCCAAAUCAAUGUACAAGCCCUGCCCAUUAAGACUCAGAUUCCCACACAUGGCUCAUGGCGUCUGUAGCACUCCCUUCCCUGAACCAGACUGAUGAGCCACAUUACUGCCAUGUUAACCAAAAGCCCGUUUCAGUGACUUCUUGUCCUGUACGUGUUCUCUGCAGAUCCUCAUGGAGAUGGUCUGUGGGGUCUGUUCUCUUUUAUUCCCUACAAAUCCCUCUACAAUGGCUGUAAGAAAUUCCCCGGUUAGCCAACUCCUUGUGGGUUUUGUUUGUUCUUUGUACUUAUUCAAGCUGAAGUCUAGAGAGGAAAAGCAGGGCAGAUGUGUUUGAAGGGCAGAGCUAAAAAGAGGACACUUCACGUUAGCAUAUAAAAUCAAAAUGUGAAGCCAUUAGAAAACAUGGCAAACAGGUGACAAAAAAUGUAUAUACUUACUGCCAACACGAGCUCCUGUCUGACAAGCUGAAUUAUAGCAUGCAUUUUUAAUCCAUCUUUGGAGCAGAGAUUCUACCAACCUCUCUCUCUAGAAAUACAUCACACAGGCUUUGGAUAUUGCUGCUGGUUGAUAUUAUCAAUACCCUCUUUUCCCCAAGAGCUUUCUUCAACAGCCAUCACCCCGCACUGCAGGUUGUCCGACAGAAAAUUGGAAUGGUAAUGAAGACUAAGAGAAGAGAGAAAGCAAAAAAGAAUACUUCGUACUCACAUCAUAACAAAUCUUAAGAGAAGGGGAUGGGAGAUAAUGUCACUGCCAGUUCAAAAAGGUGGAUACAAAAAUAUAAUGAAGGUGCCUGUGUUUCAACACGUUGUCCAGAAAGUGCACUAGCAUCUGAAAGUACAAAAAUACUCAGAACAAUCUAGCAUGUUCAGGACGUAAGUGUGUUUCUACCUGUUAAAGGGAAAGGCAAGAGAGAGAAUCCAGUUGCUAUGGAAAUCAGGCCAUCUCCAUGGGAAUUCAGAAAGUAGAGUAUCCUCUUGGCCAGUAAAUCAGGCAGCGAGCAGCCAUUUCUGGACCAUGGCACUGAGCAAUUCUAAGCUGCUCACAGGACAGUUUGUUUCCUCAGCACUGCCGCCCUACCUCAGUAUCAAUGAAAUUGGUGAAAAAAGGGGGUUAUUGGUGAAAUUAAGAAUUUGUUUUGUGGAAUGUAAAGAAGGUUCAGGGGAGAACUGAUAGCAGCCUUUCAGUAUCUAAAGGGGUGGGGAGGGGUGUAAGAAAGAUGGGGACAGAUUCUUUAGCAGGGUCUGUUGUGAUAGGACAAGGGGAUAUGGUUUAAUUACCCCUAAACUGAAAGAGGGGAGAUUUAGAUUGGAUGUAAGGAAAAAAGCUUUGUACGUUAAGGCCAGGGAGGCUCUGACACAGGCUGCCCAGAGAGGUGGUGGUGCCCCAUCCCUGGAGACGGCCAAGGUCAGACUGGGUGGGCUCUGAGCUGUGGGUGUCCCUGUUCAGUGCAGGGGCAGUUGGACCAGAUGGCUUUUAAAGGAUCCUUCCAACUCAAACAAUUCCACAAUUCUCCGAUUCUCCUGCAUGUUUCUGUGGAGGAGUGUCGCGUGUCUUUGCUUUAGCUACAGUUAUUGGGAUAUAGAUUUAUGUCACUGGAAAAAAAGUGGAACUCCUGGUUUUGCUUCUCAGCAAAUGUUUUUUGUUCACAUUAGUUGCUGUACAAUAACAAAGGAUCAGGUAGGUGUGCAUGCAGGAAGUAAAAGGAAACAAAGGCCACAUUAAAGAAUAUAAAAAGAAGGAGCUGAGGUACAAACCCACACCUUGUUCAGGACUCCUCUCUUUGUGUUAAUGGACAAAUAUUCAUGGUGCCAUUGGGGGAUCCAAUUCCCUUGCCAUAGGCAGCAGCCUCCAGCUCUGCUGCUCCUGGGUACCAGUGAUUGCUUAGAGUUUAGGGUCCCACAAAGGCCUCCAAGCACAUCUCUUCCAGUCAGUGCCCCACAGCUAGGUUUACUCUGCUGUCACCUGAUGGAUGAGACUGAGAAGCUUGGAGACUUUUGAGAUUCUGAUGCUUUGCUACAGAGCUUUCUUCUGUUUCAUCAUUGCAUUUAAUCACUGGUGGGCAACUGGUCCCUAGAGCCCGGGAGGUUGGGUACUGCUGGAGUUGAAAGCUUUGGCAUGAGCGCCAGUGUGCAGACGAUGGAAAGCAGGUGAUGGAUUUACAGUGCUGAAAUCCUUGCUAUGACUGCUAUGCAAACACCAUAUAUUAUAGCUGUAAGUCCUGCAUAAGCCAAGAAGAUUAAAAAACACCUUGUAGAAAAGAGCUCCGGUCGGAUAUGCCUUUGUUCACGAGGACAACUAUGCAGUGGUACUAAUGCAUGGAUGUCAUUUAGUGCUGGGGGAGUUAAUGGGGCUUUAUUUGAAUAUAUCUCAGCUGCGUGAGUAAGGCUCACAGGCAGAAGUGUCUGUCUGGUGUACGUGUGUUGGAGGACACUGUCUGACAUUGAUGGAAAGCUGCUUGAUAGAGUUUCAUCUUUCAAUUCAUUUAGAUUUUUAAAGCUCAGGUUAAGUUGCCCAACUUAAUUUGCAAUCAUUUAAAGUAGGAGUUAAGUGAAGGUCACAGGCUGCUCUAAAUUAGAGGGAAACCGCUGUAGCACUGGCAUGCUUUGACCUUUUCAGUGUUUUCUGACUCUGCUGACCAGCUGAGCUCUUUAUAGCACUGUUAACCUGUGAGAAAUGUGUGAAGUGGUCAUUUCCCACAGUAAAGCAGGAAAUUUUGAAAGGUUAAAGUAGCAGUGAAUAUUCCUGGCAAGAGCAGGUACGGAAUCCCUUGGAACUGAUGAUCUGUGUGUACGUGUAUCUUCCUGCUCUGCAGUGUUUGUGUUAGAAGGGAAGUGAAGAGGAUGCAAAGCAGGGCUGUAGGCAGCUCACCCGAGCUCUGCCUGCAGGUUAUCCCAGAAAUCAGCAUGGUGCAGAGGGUGCUCUCAAACCCACAGGAAUCCGUGCUGUCUCAGAGCUAUAAAAAAAUACUACUACAAAAACUCCAGAAGUAACAUCAAACUCAGGACGUGGGGCUUUCCUAGAUCCCAUAUGCAGAACUUGGGGAAAAGACAGAUAUCAGUGUUCCCCCAUCCCUGGGGCUGUUCAAGGCCAGGUUGGAUGUGGCCCUGGGCAGCCUCAUCUGGUGAGUGGCAACUAGCCCACAGCACGAGCUUGGUCCUUUCCAAUCUAAGCCAUUCUAUGAUUCUGUGACGUACCUGGAGUUAACAGCAGUGAGCCCAGACAGUGUAGUAGAUGGGAUGCGCUAUCACAGUGCUCGAAGAGUAAAAUCCCUAUGCUCCAUGCCCCAUCUUUUUUAUGCACUUGUUUUCUUCCUUCCUGGUGUUUACGAUCCAGCUGCACGUUCUGCAGCUCUCUCUCUUCUGCCUUUAAUGAGGUAAAGUGGAGAAGUCGUAAAACCAGGCCGCCAUCGGUGUAGCAUCCUGGGGCUGCCAUAACGAGAGGCUUCUGGUCCUCACGAUACAACACCUUGGUGGCAGUGUCUAGUCCCACCUUCUUUGUGCAAAGGGCCAACAUAGGACAGCCCCUCUCCUCCAUUUCCUCCUGAUCGCUGGGGUGCAAGGCAGCUGUCAGAUAUUCAUCUGGAUUUUGUGGAUGUCACAGAUAGCCAGAGUGGGGAAAGAAGGAGGCAGUUUGCUCUGAGAAACAAGAGGGGCUUUACAUCAUUGCAGUACACUCUAAAUAUGCAGUAAGGGUCAAAAGUCUCUUCUGUUGCCCUAGGACUCCUGACUGCUGCAGGCUAAGCCACCAACUCUGAGAUCUGUGUAAGAGGGCAGAAGGGAAUAGCUCAUUGUUAAACAUCCACUUUGUCCAAUGCAUUGGUCAGGGGCUGACAGUUUCCAUUCUGGAGCUCUCAGAAAAUAAAGCGGCUCCUGAGCAUCCCUGCAAGGUGUUGUGGGUCACGCCAGCCACCUCCAUCCCCACACAGCUUAGAAGAGCACAGAAAUGCCAUUUGGCUUUCCAGACCACCUUCCAGCACGGCAGGGAAAGGGCUGGCGUUACACAUGCUGAUAGCGAUAGUACAUGAUAUGCAGUCAGCAGUUUGUUGCAAUCAGAGCUUCUGCUGAGCACGUCGAAAGCCUGCCCCUUUCCUGUUAAUUGAAUGUAAGCCCUUUGGUACUUCUCUCCCUUUGAUCUCUCUCAGAAUGAGACGUAAGGCUAUUAAGGCAGAGGAACCAGCGAGCACAAUGCUGGCAGUAAUCUGUGUCAGGAUGAAGGGAUGUUACGCAAGAGACCAGGAAUGAGAUGCAGUGUGAUUUUUUCUCCCUCCUCCCCCCACGUUUUCUCAUCUAAUCCCAAGGGGUUCUUUGUAAUAUUCGCCGGAUGGCAACUACAAACACUGGUGGACACAAGGAGAAAAAACGUCAUGCAACAAACAUGUAAAAAAGCUGGUUUAGCACUGAAACACUGCAUCUCUCCAGCAAAACCUGCCUGCUAGCAGGAGAUACAAAUGACUCCUGGAAUCAAAUGCAUGUUACUGUGUUCAGCAUGCAGCAUUACUGCAGGAUUUAAACACGGCAAAGAGGGAAUUGCUGAUCACACUGAAACCAAAAUGAGAAUAAAUGCAUAAUAAGAAAAAAUAGAUUAGAAGAUAAUUACUUCAUUUUGUACCUGGAGCAAUUACUGUUUGGAUUAGAGAUGACUUGUAGGUGAAAUAGUUAGUCUGCAAUAGAAGCUGUAGACACAAUGUUAAUAGUUAAAAUGUCAGUGCUAAGCUUCAUUAAAGGAGAAACCCAGCUCUAAACUUGGUUCGGUAUUUUCUUCCAUGAUUGCCACAGUGAGCACUUACGUAACACGCUGCAUAUUUCAAAGCAAGUUAUAAAAUUAGCUAGGAACUGCACGUAAUGCCUCUUUGCAGAGCUGGAGGUGAGCAUGCAGCACCUUCCAGGUGGUGCUCGGAAUACCGUGAUAUCCCCUGCUUCUGAUUUAGGGAUCUAAAAUUACAAAGCCAAAGAAUCUGAUGCUGGGACCUAUAAAAAUGCCUGUUUUUCAUCCGAGAGGACACGCAUAGGAGAGAGAGACACAGAGAGAGGACACAGUUGUUAUUUCAUCGCUGCAGUUCACUGGGAUUUUUUCUGAACACCGUUCCUAUGAACCUGGAUGGAGAAAGGCUGAAGGAGAAGAAAACCCAAAACACUUCAGCCUGCUUUUAUUUUCCGGUUAAAAAUGAAAGAAGUUAUGUAGAGCAGUUGAAGUAAACACCUGAAUCUUAAAAGACUGAAAAGGCAUUUGUAGCCGCUGACCAGAGCCGAAGAUAGAAGGAAUAAAACUGGCAAUUGAUACGUGCUGCAAAUCCUCAUGCCGAGUACAAACCUGACCUGUAUUUCAGCAGCUGCAGGCACCUUUCUGAUAUCUUCCCAGCAGUGCUGGGAGGUGCUCAGCCCAACAGCAAAGCCACGCACGCUGCAAGUCCCCAGCCUCCCUUUAGGGGACAGAGCUUCCCAAUGGCUGCUUUGAUUGUCUGUUUUCAAAAUACAAUCACAUGUGGAUAUUAAAAAUAGCACCACGCUGACUUGCUUCCUGUGAAAACAGGUUCCAGUGCUAGGAAACUAAACAUAAUUUUAAACGUUAUCAUCUGACUAAUCGUGUUGCUAUUCCAUUUCAGUCCAUAUAAUUUCUCUGGUAUGAACCUGGGUCACUUUUGCAUAUGUCCAAUCUAUUUUAUAUAUAUACGUUCACUCUAUUUGCACACUCAGAUGGGAGACAUAUGCCUCUUCUC